GAACUGUGCGAACGUUAUUCGGAAUCACUGGGCUUACAGGGUGCGUAGGCGGCCUGUUAAGUAGGGUGUGAAAUCCCCCGGCCCAACCGGGGAAUUGCGCUCUAAACUAGCAGGCUUGAGUGAGCUAGGGGUGCACGGAACUUCCAGUGGAGCGGUGAAAUGUGUUGAUAUUGGAAGGAACACCGGAGGCGAAAGCGGUGCACUGGGGCUUAACUGACGCUGAGGCACGAAAGCCAGGGUAGCGAACGGGAUUAGAUACCCCGGUAGUCCUGGCCGUAAACGAUGAGCACUGGGCGGGAGGAGGUUCGCCUCUUCCGGCCGUAGCGAAAGCGUUAAGUGCUCCGCCUGGGGAGUAUGGUCGCAAGGCUG
rnacentral:rRNA from 1 species